UAAUACCUGUAGCUAAUAAUCUUAUUACUUCUAAAAUAGUACCUAACAUGUAUUUAAUUAAGAAGACAAUUUGAACAUGGUGAAUAAUUCUGCUUUAUUUUUUGAUCAACCGAUUAGACAAAUUGUGCUGCCAACUGGAGGACAAAUCGUGAACCUUUCGGGGCGGAGUAACUCUAAAAUAGUACCUAACAUGUAUUUAAUUAAGAAGACAAUUUGAACAUGGUGAAUAAUUCUGCUUUAUUUUUUGAUCAACCGAUUAGACAAAUUGUGCUGCCAACUGGAGGACAAAUCGUGAACCUUUCGGGGCGGAGUAACUCUAAAAUAGUACCUAACAUGUAUUUAAUUAAGAAGACAAUUUGAACAUGGUGAAUAAUUCUGCUUUAUUUUGAGAUGGACAAUACAUCAUAUUAAAAUUUUAUUUUUGUCAUUAUAACAAGAACCUAUGACUAGUAGGACUUUGAUUGAAACUGAAAAAUAGGUACCUUAUCUACAAAUUAGUAGGUAUUGUAAUAAUACUUAUUGUUCGAUUGAAAAAUGUGCCUGAACUACCCUUACGAAACCAGAUUAACCAAGAAGAGCUAAAUUAUUUUAUUAUUAUAAGUAAUAUUUCUGAAAAUGAU